rnacentral:rRNA from 1 species
AAAUGACCUCAAAUCAGGUAAGAAUACCCGCUGAACUUAAGCAUAUCAAUAAGCGGAGGAAAAGAAAAUAACAAUGAUUCCCUUAGUAACGGCGAGUGAAGGGGGAAAAGCUCAAAUUUUAAAUCUGCUAGGUUUUACCUGUCGGAAUUGUAAUUUGAAGAAGCGUUUUCCGCGUCUCGGUUGGCCCAAAUCCUUUGGGAUAAGGUAUCAUGGAGGGUGAGAAUCCCGUUCGGUUGACCUUAUGACGCACUACGAUACGCAUUCUAAGAGUCGAGUUGUUUGGGAUUGCAGCUCAAAAUGGGAGGUAAAUUUCUCCUAAGGCUAAAUAUUGGCGAGAGACCGAUAGCGAACAAGUACCGUGAGGGAAAGAUGAAAAGAACUUUGAAAAGAGAGUAAAAUAGUACGUGAAAUUGUUGAAAGGGAAACGAUUGAAGUCAGUCGUACCGACGAGAAAUCAGCUUAUCGUGUGUUAACUUGUGGGCGUGCGUGAGUUUCGGCCUCGCUGUUUGCAUGUUUGUGCGCUUUGGGUGUACUUUUUCGUAUGGUUGGCCAACAUCAGUUUCGAUUACUAUAAAAUGACUGGCGGAAUGUAGCUUCGAUUUCGGUUGAAGUGUUAUAGCCUCUGGUAGAUGUGGUGAUUGAGACUGAGGAUUGCAACGAAUAUCCUUUGGGCUAUCCGUCUGGCCUCUGAAAGUUGCUUGGGUGCUGAAAGCUUGCUUAUGGUUAUCUAAGUUAACGGUCAAUAGGUUAGAACGUGAUUACAUUCGUUAAGGAUGUUGGCGUAAUGGCUUUAAACGACCCGUCUUGAAACACGGACCAAGGAGUCUAACAUAUGUGCGAGUGUU